UUUACCGGCUUAACUGGGUAUGCUAACCUAGAGUAAGCAGGCUAUGUAAGUCACUAGGGUUGCCACAUUUGAUUUGUGGAAAUCCGGGAACCUACCAGUCAUUCUUUGGUGCGCACUCAAGAUGUGUUUCCCAAUUAAUAAGAGUACGUGCUUUUAUACAGGCCCACGAAGACGGAGGGGAGAGAGGAAUUGGCUUUCCAACUGUCAACGGAGGGGGGACGCGGUCCGAGAUGCAGCAGCAAGCAGAUCGACGGGUGUCUGCAGGAUGAAUGCAUGCGUACAUGCUGACAAAAGGAAAGUAACCUACCUAUUCCUACUGUUGUGAGUGAGUGGGCCAGUGUCGGGACUACCGCGAUUGUAAAGGCUGUGCAUUGUUUUGUCUGUCGUUCUGGAGAGCUGUGGAGUUCGGGACUGUGUCUGGAUCAGCGAGGGGAGAGACAGAGAGAAGCGCGCCGUCACCUACUAAAGGGGAGUAAUAUUUCUCACCUGUGAUGAAUGAGUGGGCCGCUGUCUAGCCUAUAGCUGUCUGAGUGUUUGUCUUGUCACUUUUCCAGCCUGCGAGGAAGAGGAUCGGUGCUUUGGAGGAGCGGACGGGAGAGUUGCAUGCAGCGCGACUGAAGUGGGCGUGGAGUGCGAGAUGUUCCAGUCAGCGCAUGGCUAAGGGAAGUGAUCAUAAUUUGUCGCUCAGUGAAUGGGCUGGCAGAUGACUGAGUGGACACUGAGUGUUUUUCCUUCGUUUAGCAGUGACUAGGAGAAGAAGACGUGACACAGCCGGAAUAGGAAGACACAGCGGCUCAACUCUGGGAAUCACAGAAAGUGGACGGAGUGCCCCGCCCCUUUUCUUAACUCCGGUUCGUGAUUGGCCUAGAGGGACUGAGUGCUUUGUGGGAUUUAUGUGUUUUGGUCGGCGAGGAGAAAUCGCCGACCAAGUUGUUUUUUUCUCUCUUUAUGCGGGUUGCGCACGCGCCCAUCUAGCUGGGCAGCUGUGUACUGAGCCUCUCUUAUUGGGGUGACAUGAGUGGCAAAACAGACAAUACCCUUAUGAAUGGACUACCGCUGAUUAAGAAACUUCCAUAGUGAGUGUUGGGUGUGAUUAGUAGUGUUCAGUGCUGUGUGAACAUAUUUGUGUGAAGUGACUCAAUGAACUGUGUCUCAUUGACAUUAUCUUUGUUAUCUGUGUGGUUAUUCCUGUGUGGUUAUUCCUGUUAUCUGUGUGGUUAUUUCCUGUUAUUCGGCUGCCAAAAUCGUGAGGUUGUAUUGCCUGCCUCCUUAAACCUGGUGUCUGUGUGGCUAUCUGGGUAUCGGCCACUUCUGUGUGUGGGUUUAGCCGGGGCGGGAUAUAUUGGUGAUGGGCCUGGCCCGGCUGUGUAUCACCUGCUUAGACACUACUGCAUUACGCUGGGGGGUGUGGCUGCCAACCCGUUCAAUAAAACCUGUAAAAUUUAA